AUGCAGUGCACAGGAAAAUGUCAAAACAAAGGAGAGGAUGAGGCCGUCUACCUUGCAGAGGAGCAAGCCCGUACUUGCUGCUGCCGGUCUUGGCGCCGCCUCCGUGUAGGUGGAGUUCGUGGAGGUCGAGAUCUGCGAGAUCCCCAGAGUGGCGCAUGGCAUAAGAGCAUCAAAAGAAUUCAGAGGAGGGGCUGUGAAUCGAACAUAGAAGAAUCAAAUCUUUUGCUUGUGGCGCCGGAUCAUGAGCCCUCGGCGCCAAUCGGCCGGUGCCCCAUCGGCCUCUCUGGGUCAAUGACGUAG
rnacentral:rRNA from 1 species